GCAAACGGGUCACCUGAUGGAAAGCAACUUCCGUCGCCCAUGGACACUCGCAGCAUCAUAAGAGCUGCAGGUGCGUUGCCGGCCUUUUAAGAGGGAAUACGCUCUCUUCUUGAAGGUUUGCAAGUCGUAUUGGGCCGGUCAUACCUGCUGGUGACAGUCCGUUACAGAGUUUUACAGUGCGCGGGAGAAA